GACGAACGCUGGCGGCGUGCUUAACACAUGCAAGUCGAACGGAAAGGCCCUGCUUUUGUGGGGUGCUCGAGUGGCGAACGGGUGAGUAACACGUGAGUAACCUGCCCUUGACUUUGGGAUAACUUCAGGAAACUGGGGCUAAUACCGGAUAGGAGCUCCUGCUGCAUGGUGGGGGUUGGAAAGUUUCGGCGGUUGGGGAUGGACUCGCGGCUUAUCAGCUUGUUGGUGGGGUAGUGGCUUACCAAGGCUUUGACGGGUAGCCGGCCUGAGAGGGUGACCGGCCACAUUGGGACUGAGAUACUGCCCAGACUCCUACGGGAGGCAGCAGUGGGGAAUAUUGCACAAUGGGCGGAAGCCUGAUGCAGCAACGCCGCGUGCGGGAUGACGGCCUUCGGGUUGUAAACCGCUUUCGCCUGUGACGAAGCGUGAGUGACGGUAAUGGGUAAAGAAGCACCGGCUAACUACGUGCCAGCAGCCGCGGUGAUACGUAGGGUGCGAGCGUUGUCCGGAUUUAUUGGGCGUAAAGGGCUCGUAGGUGGUUGAUCGCGUCGGAAGUGUAAUCUUGGGGCUUAACCCUGAGCGUGCUUUCGAUACGGGUUGACUUGAGGAAGGUAGGGGAGAAUGGAAUUCCUGGUGGAGCGGUGGAAUGCGCAGAUAUCAGGAGGAACACCAGUGGCGAAGGCGGUUCUCUGGGCCUUUCCUGACGCUGAGGAGCGAAAGCGUGGGGAGCGAACAGGCUUAGAUACCCUGGUAGUCCACGCUGUAAACGGUGGGUACUAGGUGUGGGGUCCAUUCCACGGGUUCCGUGCCGUAGCUAACGCUUUAAGUACCCCGCCUGGGGAGUACGGCCGCAAGGCUAAAACUCAAAGGAAUUGACGGGGCCCCGCACAAGCGGCGGAGCAUGCGGAUUAAUUCGAUGCAACGCGUAGAACCUUACCUGGGUUUGACAUGGAUCGGGAGCGCUCAGAGAUGGGUGUGCCUCUUUUGGGGUCGGUUCACAGGUGGUGCAUGGCUGCCGUCAGCUCGUGUCGUGAGAUGUUGGGUUAAGUCCCGCAACGAGCGCAACCCUUGUUCACUGUUGCCAGCACGUUAUGGUGGGGACUCAGUGGAGACCGCCGGGGUCAACUCGGAGGAAGGUGGGGAUGACGUCAAGUCAUCAUGCCCCUUAUGUCCAGGGCUUCACGCAUGCUACAAUGGCUGGUACAGAGAGUGGCGAGCCUGUGAGGGUGAGCGAAUCUCGGAAAGCCGGUCUCAGUUCGGAUUGGGGUCUGCAACUCGACCUCAUGAAGUCGGAGUCGCUAGUAAUCGCAGAUCAGCAACGCUGCGGUGAAUACGUUCCCGGG
rnacentral:rRNA from 1 species